CCUACGGGCGGCAGCAGUGGGGAAUAUUGGACAAUGGGGGGAACCCUGAUCCAGCCAUGCCGCGUGUGUGAAGAAGGCCCUCGGGUUGUAAAGCACUUUCAGUGAGGAAGAACGCCUGGUGGUUAAUACCCAUCAGGAAAGACAUCACUCACAGAAGAAGCACCGGCUAACUCCGUGCCAGCAGCCGCGGUAAUACGGAGGGUGCGAGCGUUAAUCGGAAUUACUGGGCGUAAAGCGCGCGUAGGUGGCUUGAUAAGCCGGUUGUGAAAGCCCCGGGCUCAACCUAGGAACGGCAUCCGGAACUGUCAAGCUAGAGUGCAGGAGAGGAAGGUAGAAUUCCCGGUGUAGCGGUGAAAUGCGUAGAGAUCGGGAGGAAUACCAGUGGCGAAGGCGGCCUUCUGGACUGACACUGACACUGAGGUGCGAAAGCGUGGGUAGCAAACAGGAUUAGAUACCCCUGUAGUC
rnacentral:rRNA from 1 species